rnacentral:miRNA from 14 species
CUGCUCAGAUCAACAGCACAGUCAGUGUGACUUCUUGGAGAAACAGCAGGGACAGCAGCAGCAGCAGCAGCAGCAGCAGCAGCAGCAGCAGCAGCAGCAGCAGCAGCAGCAGAG